AUGAGAAAAUCCCUGCACAAAAAUUAUAGACAGAAAGUCCGCGCCUCAGAUACUACAGACUCCAGUCAAUCAGAGGAACACUUAAAUUCGAAACUAAUUACACAAAAAUGCUCUCCACGCAACCUACGUAACUAUGAAAAGCAAACCAUGCACCGAGGUUAUUCAUUCGAGAAAAAACAGUCGCAUAAGAAAAAACCCGAAGCGCCAGCCAGAGAGCAUGUUCAAGCAAGGCGUAGUAGAACUAAAACUAAAGAAUCACACCUCAGCAGGGUGAAACCACCGGAUAAGUCGGAUAGUCUCUAUAACUAUGCUCCUCCUUCUUCCAAACCGAGUAUCGAGAACAUCCCGAAAGCUUCAAACUACUCUUACUCGAGCCAAGAAGAGAGAAGGUACAAGGACUCGGAUGAAGAACCUAGGUACGUGCGCGAAACUAGCAAAUAUUACAAGAAUACAGAUGGUAAUUUAAACUAUAAUAGGUUCAAUCCAAACCAUAAUAUCCAUAGAAAUAUAUCCCCCGUGAAAAAAGAGCCGUCAUACGUUCGCAGCCCUGCUGGCAGCAAUAAUCUCCUUUCAGUUCGAGAGUACAAUAAAAUGCUGAAUAAUGAUUCGGGCAAUUCGUACGGUUACUUUCACGGGGAUAAAAACAACAAGCUCUGUUACAUAUCCAAUCGACCGGUGUACUAUGAUAAUACCGGCAUGGGCGAAAAGUCAAGAUACCGCCAAAAACACAGUGAGCUUUCGAAUACAAAAAGCAGCGACCUCAGGAUAGUAAGCAAAAGCGAUACUUCAUUAGCGCAAAGUGGCAGAAGAGGCCACAAUCGCCUAUCGGAUGGGAGCGAUAAGAAUAUUAAGAAAAAUGAGCAUUAUUUAUCUAAAAUGGAUCGGUCCUCGAAAAAAUCUCACCACAAUGAAAAUUCAAUAUUGGACAUAAAUGCGAGUGAAACAAACGACAGGCUGAAAGUUACCUGUAAAAAUAGUGAGAUAACACGCUUAACGAACGAGAUAGCCAAGAAGUUGCAAAAUAUCGGCUUAAAUAUAACUGCAGAGCCAUUGCCCAGAAAUAAAGCGAGGCGGAAGAAGGAAGAGAACACGCAGGACAAAGCAAGACCGCCUACGAAUCGCAAAGACACAGAAUCGGAGGAAAGUUGCGAGACGGUGCCGGAGAAAGACACGGUGGCGCCUUCCCCGAAUCAGCAUCAGAAAGAGAUCGACAUUGAGGAGGAGGUAAAAAGGACAACAGAACCAUCGAAAACCUCCAGAGGUCAAAAGUUCAAACAUCACACAAAAUACUACGUCUCCAACCCUGAGACCCCCGAGGACAGAUGUGAUAAAUGCCCUUGCAACGACCCGCCAGCGAAGCAGAGGGAAUUGCACGGGUGCUGCUAUCGGGAAGGCGAACACGUCAACACACAGCCGGAACAUAUAAAUCUAAAACAAGAUUUAAAGAGCUGCUGUAAUCCAGGCCGGAACAUCUACGAAAAUCUGGAGGUUUGCGAUAUGACUCGCUUGUAUAAACCGGACGACCAUACGAGAAUGCUGACGCACAAUCUCAUCAACCAAAAUUGCACGUGUGCUUUCAGCGAGGUCAAGUGCGAGUGCAGUCCAGACGCCAUGGCAAAGCUCGGACUUUACAACAAUGGUAAACGGUCGAAGUCACCUUUGACCACGGUCAACAAUAAAACCAACGGUGUAUAUGUCUUCGUGCCUCUCCCCGAGAAUUCAAACGACCCCGUUGAAAUGAGCAAACACUUGCAAAACAUUUACAAUAAUAUAAUACCCAUGAGUGAGAAACAGGAUCAAAAGAACUGCGAGAAUAAAGCAUCGGCCAAGAGAUCUCAGGAGUUGUCGAAAAGCGAGUCGUCGAAAGGGGCCGGUGAAGCUGGGCAAGAUAAAUCGAAAGGUGAGAAAGAUACUGAGACGGACAGAGCAAAGUUGCUUGAUAAGCUUUUGGAUGAAUACAACUUGACCCAACUCAAACAACUGCUUGAGAAAAAGGCUGCUGUCCAGAACGACGAUUUAGCAGAGGAUUUGAAGAGGCUGAAGCAGCAGAGCAUGGGGCGACGUCAUUCAGAUGUGAACUUGAAUUUAGAUCAACCGGUUAGAUCACCGUUGAGGACCAGGAAGUGCCCGUCGGAGAGUUCUUUCAUUAUGAAGAAUAACGCGAAACCUUGGUCUCAGGCCGAGCACGACAAGUACAGUUCCUACAACGACUCGCGGUUUGGUGGAAUGCCCGAGUACGCAACACCCUUCCAACAGCAUCAGUCCAUGUUCCCUGAGCCGCCUUUGAACAACUACCAAAGCAUCAACCUCCCUUUCACCGAGUUCGUAUCGGACAUGUCGAAAUACCGGGCCGCCCCCUAUGGCACCGGCCAGGCGAUGUUCUACACCCGCACGAAAUCCCCCAAGUCCUACCACGGCACCCCGCAACCUCCCCCCGUCAGCGACCCGAACAUCAAGCCCGGGCAACCACUCCCCAGCUCCAUCAUCGACCCGUCGAUCCCGUUCCAGGCCAAACGUCGGGAGGCCGAACCUCGGGAGGAGUCGUCGCUCUACGGUCGUCCCAAGUCACCUUCGCAGACUUUCAACUACGGGUUGGAUAUGGCCACCAAGAGACACCACCAACAGUUGAUCAACCACGCUCAUCAUCAGGUGCACCCCAAGGCCUCGUUCGACCCGCUCUCGCCUUGUUACCCCUCCGGCGAACCGUCCUACAUGCCGUCACAUACGCAUGGACUUUACGAUAUCCUGGAGUCCCUCGACGACUACUUACCGCCGAGUCCACGUUCACCCCGAUUCGAUCACUCUCCGACUCGUUUCGACCGUUACUACGGAGAUCAACCAAGCUGCGGUCACCAACACAAGUCUUUCAAGUCCAAGUAUUUUACGAGUUCACCACCACCAGAGCCUUCCGAUUUUGGGUUCGAGAUCCCCAGCCUCCAGAAGUGCCAUAACCACGCGUCGAGGUCGUAUUACAAGCCGGUGGAGCACCAGCAUAAUUUGGCCGACUUCCGCGAGAGAGUCCACUUCGUCGACACCGAGUCAAGGGGACCGUCGAUCCUGAAGAAACUAUCGGACGUGGUGGCCAAGCCGUUCAGUAUGCUCUUCCGAGUUGAGCCGGAGAACCCACCACGUCAUAAAUCACAUUUGAAGGGGAUUUUGAAGUCCGCGAUCGAUGAGGAAGAGAACGAAGAUGACGAGGCUUAUGAGAGCUACUGCAGAGAAAGGUAUUCUCAAGAGAAAGGACUGAGUAGAAGUGCGGCUUACGACUUGGACGAUAUGGAUUUGGACGAUAUAUCGCAGCCACCGUUGGAGUACGUCACUGUGGUGGACCCUUUUCAAACGGACUCCCUUGAGUCCAUCCGUGAUGAGAACUUCGGGGACUCGGCCUCCGCCGGGAAAAGGAGUCCGAGGAAAAACAGCCCGAAUCGGCGGUAG
rnacentral:lncRNA from 1 species